GCCUCGGACCAGCACGCGUGCUCAGUAGACUCCAAGACCGGGCUGUUCUUUGCUAGCUAGGGCGCUUGUGCAGCAAAGGAGCCGUUGGACUCCGAUGCAGGUUCUGAGGCUCAGCUGCUCUGCUCCACACAGGUCCGUUGGGGACAGUAAAAGACCUGGGGCGCCAACUGGGACCGCCGAGGUGCUCUGAGGAUGACCGCAAAGCGGCGUGGACUGAGCCGGUGUCCUCAAGUGCAGCCAAGUUCCUUUGACUAGGGCCGCUGGCAGCAGCGAUCGUGGGUGGCUCCUGCUCUGUAGCCACCUACCCUCGGCAACCUGCCCCGCCCUCAAGUAGGGCCUCUAACAGUCCUGUGGGUUCUCUCCCAGAGCCGCGUCUGUGUCCACAGGGCAGGUUUUGAGGGUUGGUUCACUUAGGUACGUUAAAACGGCAUCCAAGCUGUCUCGAACUUGUUGUGGAAAGGUGUUUUAAAUCCCUGAGAGAGUGCUGAGGAUGUACCUUACUUAGAUGGUAGGAUUGCUUGCCUAGCAACCGGUGCACAAGGCUCGGAGUUCCAUCAUCAGAACUUCAUAAACCCGUCGUGAUGGCGCACAUCUGUCGCCCAGCACUUGGGAGGUGGAGUCAAGAAAAUCAGAAGUUCAAGGUCUUCCUCAGCCAAUGAGACCCUGCCUCGAAGAGAACAAAACAAUCCUGGUUCACAGUGAUUGAAGAACGCUAACUUGGAGAUACAGGAGCAUUGAGUAGGAGGCUCCUGCUUCCAGGUUCCUGCCUUGCAUGAGUUCCUGUCCCGACUGCUUUCGAUGAUGAACUGUUCUAUGGAACUGUGAGUGAAAUCAACCCUUUCCUCCCCCAGUUGCUUAUGUUCAGGGUUUUUCAUCACAGCAAUAGAACAGUAACUAAGAAAAGUGUGUUAAAAAAUAUUAAGGAAACCGGAGCUCCCGAGAGUGGGAGGGGCUCUCUAGAGAUAAAAAGCAGCAGAGCUUGACAGACAGAUGCUCCAUCCCCUAAGAAGUAGCAGUCACCUCCACGUAACCAGCUUGUCCCCUCAAGAAAUCAGGGCUUCUUAGACAUCACCUUGAAGGACCAGAACUGAGACAAUGAACAACUAGACCACAAUGUGACCAAGAUCGCUUAAUUAUGCGACUCCCUUGCCCUGCUCCAGUCCCCCCUCUAGUAAAUCAAAGCUAAUGUCAGUGCCCCAAAGAUGGACUUGGGGAUCCUGAGCAUGUUUAUGCUGGCACCUUCCUUUUGCCAGCACUGGUCUCAUCAACUGGAGUAAUGGGAUGAAAGCUCUGCUCUUCCAGAGGUCCUGAGUUCAAUUCCCAGCAACCACAUGGUGGUUCACAACCAUUGAUAAUAUGAUAUGAUGCCCUCUUCUGGCAUGCGGGUAUACAUAGAGAGCACGCAUGCAUAAACUAUAAAUAAAUAAUUUAAAAGAUUUUAAAAAAGAAAUAAGUUCGGGCGGUGGUGGCGCACACCUUUAAUCCCAGCACUCGGGAGGCAGAGGCAGGAGGAUCUCUUGUGAGUUCGAGGCCAGCCUGGGCUACCAGGUGAGUUCCAGGAAAAGGCGCAAAGCUACACAGAGAAACCCUGUCUUGAAAAACCAAAACAAACAAACAAACAAAAGAAAUAAGUCGUUUAACCACUUUAUGAUAGCAGCUCCAGGAGUAGUUGGUGAUUGGCGCUUCUCCCAGAACCCCCUGGUUCUACUUAGAUGAUGUAACAAGAAUGUAUACGUCUGUGCGCUCCAUGUUCAAGGCAAUGACAUAUCACCAGCACUGAGAUUGUUUGGGCAAGGAGUUAGACAUGGGGUAAUCAAGUGUGUUGGUUAGUUUUGUCAACCAGACACAAACUAGAGUCAGACAGGAGGAGGAGGGUCAAGUAAGGAAUUACCUCCAUCGGACUGGUCUGUGAGUAUGCAGAGCAUUUUAUUGAUUAGUGAUCGAUAUGGGAGGGCCAUCCCUGGGCAGGUGGUGCUGGGUUAUAUAAGAACGCAAGCCUGUAAGCAGUGUUUCUCUGAGAUUCUGCCUUAGUUCCUGCCUUGAGCUCCUACCCUGGCUUCCCUAAAGGAUGGAUUGUGAUGUGGAAGUGUAAGCCAAGUUAAUCCUUUCCUUCCCUAGUUGGUUUGGCCAGUGUUUUAGCAUAGCAACAGAGAAGCUAACGAAUACACCAAGGAAACCGCAGCUGUCUUUAAAUGCACUGUUAUAGUCAAGCACUUUUCUCUCUACUGUAUCAAAAGCUCAGGCUCAGGCUGGUGAGAUGGCUCAGCGGUUAAAGAGCACUGGCUGCUCUUCCAGUGGUCCUGAGUUCAAUUCCCAGCAACCACAUGGUGGCUCACAACCAUCUAUAAUAGACUCCGAUGCCCUCUCCGGGCGUGCACAUGUACAUGCAGACAGAGCACUCAUGCAUACAAAUAAAUAAAUAGACUAAAUAGAAUUAAAAACAAAACCUCAGGCUCUAGCGGGGUCAUCCUGUCAUGACCCUGUGGAAGGUCUGCAUCCUCAGGCGGUCCUGGCUCGUUACAGUGGCGUUGACAUUGUACUUUUCAUCACUUUCCCCCACCUUGUGGGUUUUUUAACAGAAGGAUCAUGGGAAAAAUACCCUAAAAGGAAGAUCUGAUCUGCCUUCAUUUGAGAGGGAAAACAGCAUCAUCCACCCUAUGAAUAUGCUACCACCCUCCUGAAUAUACAGAAACCUCCUGAGGAGUGACAAACCCAAGGUCCUUCACUGCUGCCGUUUCCCAGGUUAGCCAGCUCUGGCCAUCUUUGAAGUAUACUAUUCAAUUAUUUGGCUAAAGACAUCUGACUUUCCAUGGUCCCAUCUGCAUUUGUUGAUGAAUUAUUUCUUCACUGGACCAAGAACCUCCUGGAUCCCUGGGUCUAAUAAUAGCCCUAUCAGAGUAGUAAUGGAAAACCAGACCCAAGGAGUAUGGAUUGCCCGUAGUCGUAAGUCCAGGAGGGCUCACAGGGGACUGGUAUGAACUAAAAUUCCUUGAAAAGAAACAUAGCUAUGCUGAAAGUUCUGCAAGGUUACUUGAUUGAUUGGAAUUCACAAUCUUGGAGAAUUGGAAUAUUGCAGACUCAGAGCCAAAUUUUCUUUGGCCUUUCUUUUCGUUUCCUUAAUAGCCAACCAUUGUCCACCUCUGUCUAAUAUCUUUUUGUUUUCUUUUGGUUUUUUUUUGUUUUUUUUUUAAAUUUAUUUUUAAAGAUUAUUUAUUUAUUAUGUAUACAACAUUCUGCCUCCAAGUAUGCUUGCAUGCCAGAAGAGGGCACCAGAUCUCAUUACAGAUGGCUGUGAGCCACCAUGUGGUUGCUGGGAAUUGAACUCAGGACCUCUGGAAGAACAGCCAGUGCUCUUAACCUCUGAGCCAUCUCUCCAGCUCCCCUUCUUUUGGUUUUUUUGAGAUAGGGUUUCUCUGUGUAAUAGCCCUGGAUGUCCUGGAACUUACUUUGUAGACCAGGCUGGCCUCGAACUCACAGAGAUCCUGCCGCCUCUGCCUCCCAAGUGCUGGGAUUAAAGGUGUGAGCCAUCACUGCUUGGCUCUGACCUAAUACCUUUUUUACUAUCAUGUGCAAUCUCUGGAAUGCAUCCUUAGCAGACCACUAUCUUCCAUCAAACCCAAAUCUAAGAAUGCCAUAGAUAGCAUCUGGGACCUAUAGCAGAGAACCCCUGCUUUGUCAUAACCUACCUAUCUGAAAUUUCCUCUAAUAUUAUAUAUUUGAAAAGUG